AGUGUUGACAACCAUAAAGCUAAUAGAGUGUUCUUUUAACCUUUACAUCUUAUCUAUAUAUUAUGGCAUAAAAAGUGUUCUAUUCUACUAUGACAAAAGAUUGUUCACAACCAUACACCUAUUAAGAGUGUUCUAUUAAGCUUUACAACUGUUCUAUUAUGGCAUAAACUAUCUAAACUAAAAAAAUGAUAGCAGUUUCUAUUAAGCUUUAUAAUAGAACAAAAGAGUAAGAUUGCAAUGUAUACAUGUUCGCAGUGUAAACAUUGAUAAAACUGUUCUAUUAAACUCUAAAGAGUGUUCUAUUCUACUAUGAGAAGGAUGUUGACACAAUAAAGCUAGCUAUUAAGAGUGUUCUUUUAACCUUUACAACUGUUCUUUUAUGGCAUAAAAGUGUUUUAUUCUACUAUGACGAAAGAGUGUUGACAACCAUAAAGCUAAUAGAGUGUUCUUUUAACCUUUACAACUGUUCUAUUAUACAAUAAAAAUGUUCUAUUCUACUAUGACAAAAAAUUGUUCACAACCAUAAAGCUAUUAAAAAUGUUCUAUUCACCUUUACAACUGUUCUAUUAAGCCUUAAGAGUGUUCUAUUCUACUAUGACAAAGGAGUGUUGACAAUCAUAAAGCUAGCUAUUAAGAGUGUUCUAUUUAACAUUUACAACUGUUCUAUUAUGGCAUAAAACUGUUAUAAAGCCUAAAACUGAUAGCACACUUCCAUUAAGCUUUAAGAAUGUUUUAUUAAGUCAUAAGAGGUUAAGAUUGGAAUGCAUACAUAUUCGCAACUGCAAAUCUGAUAAAAGUAUUCUAUUAUGCUCUAAGAGUGUUCUAUUCUACUAUGACAAAAGCGGGUAAGAUUGAAGCCUUAAAACCAUGAUAUAGCAACAUAAUUGGAAGUUCAGAAGAUCUCCCAGAUUUCUCAAUUAAUCAGUAAUGUUGAUCUCCAAAGUAUAGAUUUUUGAACUCCCAUACAUCUCAAUUAAUCAGUCAAUUGAUCUCCGAAGUAUAGAAACAUGAAAAACUCAAAAAUGCACGUGUACGUGAAUUCAAUUCAAAAAGAAACAAUCCACAAUGCUCAUAUUCUUUCUUCUUCUUCUUUUUUUCUUUGCUACGUUUUGUACAUCCCAAACUGUCAUUCCAAAUGUAUACCACAUAAAUUGGAAACUACCGAUAAAUAUAAGAAAUUUAAGAACGAUAUCUACAAAUCAAGGUUUCAGUAUUCUAUUAUGCUCUAAGAGUGUUCUAUUCUACCCAUACACCCCAUAUUGAGUUGUUCUAUUAUGCUUUACAAUUAUUCUAUUAUGCCAUAAAUCUGUUAUAAAGUCUACAACUGAUAGCAGUGUUAUGUGAAACUUUAAGAAUGUUCUAUUAAGUCAUAAGUGGGUAAGAUUACAAAUGCAUACAUGUUCGCAACUAUAAACCUGAUAAAAAUAUUCUAUUAAGUCCUAGAAGUGUUCUACUAUGACAAAAGCGUGUUCACAACCAUAAAGCUAAUAAUAGUGUUCUAUUAAGCUGUAAGAGUGUUCUUUAUUGCCAUAAGAGUGUCAGAUUGUCAAGCAUAUAUGUUUCCAAACACAAAUCCUAUAAAAGUGUUCUACUAAGAGUGUUCUUAUAAGUUCUAAGACUAAACCCUUUAUGGCAUAAAAGUGACAAAUUGUAAUGCAUACAUAAUUCUAGCCAACAAUACAUAUAUGAAUACAAACAAAUUAAUUUUCAAUACAAGUAUACAUAAAAAUCAUAAAUGCUUUAUUUUUACAAAUACAACAAAUAAUGUAAUAUACCAGCUGAGUAAUCCCUAAAUAAAAUGAAUCAGCUAGUCGGUGAGCAAAUCCGCAGCACGCAAAGAAGAACCCUAGCUGCAACCCUAAACCCUCAAAAUAUAAAUUCUAUAUUAAAUUUAAAAUUAGAAAUAAAAGAUUAUAGAAAUUCAAAAAUAUCCUCUGUUUGAGUAGAAUCCUCUGUUCGGUUGUGGCAGAAUUAGCUCCGAAAUCGUUCCUAAUUUCGGACGCUCACGACUGAAGGAAUGCGUCACAGGUAUUGGGAUGGACAGGGGAGCAGUUGAGAGGCGACCUCCUACCAAUGGAGAAAUGCGAGGCCGAGAGACACCUUCGAGACGACUUCGGACACGAGAUGUGUGGAACAAGCGCUGCCGAACUUCUGCUCGAUGGAGUGGAGUGCCCUGCGAGCGAGAGCGAGAGCGAGAGGAAGAGAAAGGGGAGAGCGCGAGAUGACGAGAGAGGUGACGAGAGAGGCGCGAGAUCAAGAGAGAGGCGAGGGAACGAGCGGGACCGAGGGAGCGAGCGGGACCGAGAAGGAGGUGUAGGGGAGAGAGAGAGAGAUAUGUAGUAGGGUUUAGCUUUAGGAAGAAAAAAUAAAAAGGGGAGUGAAGUUAGCUGCUACUGUGCUAGUGAUCUAAUAAUAGCCGUUGGAUCAUACGGGUGUAGGAUAUACACCUUCCUAUAGGAGUACAGGUAGACUUUUCCAACUUUUAAUGAGAAUUGAGUCCCUAAACUUCAAAAAAUUAUUCUAGUUCUAGUCUCUUUUAAUUAAAAUUUGCCCCUAGUUUAUUUGUUUGACUAUAUUCC
rnacentral:lncRNA from 1 species